rnacentral:pre_miRNA from 1 species
AAAGAGGACAGUUUUACAUUGUUCAUAUCUAACGUUUAACCAUCCGUUUUAUUUGAAAAAAUUUUAUGAUUAGUAUUUUUGUUGUUAUUUUUAUAUGUGACUAAUUUUUUUUUAAUUUGUAAUAUUUUUUAAAUGAAACGGAUGGUUAAACGUUGAAUACGAAAAUUCACGAGUACACUUAAU